CAAACAAAACAGGGGAGCUUCCGCUGAGAGGGGAUAUCACUUAUAUCUCGACCCUUUAGCUGAUUCGGAUAAUGCCGACGUAGCGAGUUUUAGACAACAAAUU
rnacentral:ncRNA from 2 species